rnacentral:rRNA from 1 species
GACGAACGCUGGCGGCGUGCUUAACACAUGCAAGUCGAACGCAAAACUUUCACCGAAUGCUUGCAUUCACGAAAGUUUUGAGUGGCGAACGGGUGAGUAACACGUGGGUAACCUGCCCAGAAGAGGGGGAUAACACUUGGAAACAGGUGCUAAUACCGCAUAAUAACAAAAACCGCAUGGUUUUUGUUUGAAAGAUGGUUUUGCUAUCACUUCUGGAUGGACCCGCGGCGUAUUAGCUAGUUGGUAAGGUAAAGGCUUACCAAGGCAAUGAUACGUAGCCGAACUGAGAGGUUGAUCGGCCACAUUGGGACUGAGACACGGCCCAAACUCCUACGGGAGGCAGCAGUAGGGAAUCUUCCACAAUGGACGAAAGUCUGAUGGAGCAACGCCGCGUGAGUGAAGAAGGUUUUCGGAUCGUAAAACUCUGUUGUUAAAGAAGAACGUGUGUGAGAGUAACUGCUCAUGCAGUGACGGUAUCUAACCAGAAAGCCACGGCUAACUACGUGCCAGCAGCCGCAGUAA